GAAAAGUGCUACGUCAGUUUCUUUUUCUUUACAAUUUUUUUUUCUUUUCGAAAACUGUGUCCAGUCUGUGUUUGCCUAUCUCUAACGUUCUUGUAUGGCCAGCCAAGAGAGCGUUAUGUGAUCACGACACCACAGUACGAGGUGGUUGUGUGUCAUUCGCUGUGAAAAUUUCAAACUUUGUUUCGGUUCUUGAGUUCGGUGUUCAUACGCGAAAGGACUUUUCUCGUUUUUUGCGACGUUUUUCAGCCAUCAAAUAAUUUUGUGUCUCGAUCGUGCUAAUACAAGUGUUUCAGUGUGUGGAUUUUUUUAGCGUCAAUGGAUACCUGGAAUAUAUGAUUAUAUGUAUCACUUCGAAGUACCGAAGAGAAUGUUCCAUUUUGAAACAACAAACGCAAUUUGCUUGAAAAUAAAUUAAUCUCUUAUAACGCCUUGAAAGGCUGGCUCGCAUGAACGAUAGAAAAGGCAAUGAAUCUUGUGGAGACAUUUUUAUGAUCUUCUUGUACCAUCGAAUUGGUCAUCGUAUGAUAUAAUUCGAAUAUUGCAUGGAUUAAAUAAACUCGUAUCUCAGAAUUCUAAACACAUCCGUCGGUUAAGAAUCGCUGAAUCUUUUAAGUAUUUGUUCAAGUUCGUUCGAAAGUGCUAAAAAAAAAUCAUAAACAAAAGCUCGUUUAUUCUUUUUCAUCUAUCGAUCUUGGAAGUUAGGGCAAAAGAGUGUCAUGGAUUUUUCAUAUCAUGUUCCAUCGUCUCUUUCGAUAAGCGAAUUUUUAGGAAACGAUAACCACGAUCUGAAAGUUGGCGAAUUUUUACAUCAUCGACGGUGUUUUCAGUACCGCGUAGAAAAUGAUAUAGCGUCGUAUCAACGUCGUGCCGAAGUGUCAGAUUUGACGCGUGGUAACCUCGUGUUCAGUAGUUUGAAUUCGAAGCGAUCCCGCGUUUCCUUGGGCUUGGGGACGAGGGGCAAAGGGAGGGAGAGGGUAGAGGCGGCAGCAGCAGCAAGAGGUGGAGGAGGUAGGACGGCGGCCGCGGCUGGGUGGCGUUGUUGGAGUGGCGAGGAGAUGGUCGAGGUGGCUGUGGUAACGAAGGUGGGUCGUGGGUCGCUGGUUGGAGGGGGGGAACAUAACGAACGAGAGAGAAGAAACGAGAUAGAGGAAGAAGAAGCGAUAGAGAAAGAAUAAGAACACGAAAGAGAGAGAUGAGAAUAUAUGUACGAUAUGAAAGACGAGGAAAGAAUUCUCGAUAAAGAGAGAACGAGAUAGAGAAAGGUGACCGGAGGCUCCGAGGCUGCUUCUUCUUUACUUGGCCAACGCUGUAGAGGAAACCUAGCAUCGCCUGUGCGCCAUGAGGAGAAGGGUACGAUGUUCACUAAGUGAUGAGGAGGGGGCAUAGUUAUGACCAACCAUCAAGGGGGCAACGUCGUCAUGGUUACCACGACGACAACAACCCGAUUCUGUUCUAAGGGAUGUUUUUAAAAGCAUAUAUUUGCCUUUGCUCUUUUUUUUCUCGCCGAUUGCGUGGAGGCGAUAGGAACGACUUUUUUUCUAUUUUCCAUUCGCUGAAUGAUGGCCCCAUUUUAUUAGAUCAACCAGUUGCAAUCGUGCUUUGUGACUAUAUACAUUACGUGUUUAAUGAAAUAGAAAUUUAAAGAAUACAUAUAAUUAUAAUUAAUUGUGUAAAACUUAUACUUUAAUCUUUUCAUCGGUAUAAAUUAUAAUUAGAAAUAUAACAAUAUAUAUAUAUAUAGUUAUACAAUAUAUAUCUCAGUGGUAAACUCGUUUAUUCUUCAGAUUAUGAAUAUGUUCAAAAUGUUUUAUACCAGUGAAAUGUAUGAUAGGUGUUGUAUUUCGAGAAAUAGUAGCAUUCGCAUGAUGAUUGUAUCCGACGGUGACAGAACCAAUCGAAUCUGUGACUCGAAUAUUUCCAUCCACCAUUAUUCCAUAAUCGUUUUACGAAAUAUUGUUAUAAAAGAAAGUGCGUUGCAAGAGGACGUUUUGGAUACAAGUGUACGAUUAGACAUCUUGGCGAAGUUUUUUCGUAAAUUUAUUUUUUUCAUAUCUAAAGAAUAACUUCUUUAUCUUGUACUUAAGAUACUUCUUCAAGAUACUUCUAUCAAGUUUCGAUAAUGAAUUUAUUAUGAGAAAAUAUAAGAAUAUCUCAUAAUAUACUAUAAUUUAAUUAUUUUUUAUAUUAUUCACUGAUGUUUCAUGAUUUACAACAUAUAGAAUCAAGAGUAGUUCGAAUGUAUCCGACGGAUAGUAUUACGCGACAGCAUUGCCAACCAAUUGAAUCGAAAUGAUGAUUUUACAUAUCUAAUUUUUUUAUAUUUUCACAACGUUAUAUAUACAUAUAUAAACAAAAGAAACAGACUUUACAUUUGACACAAAUCAAUUCAACUAUGAUUGGUCUGUGAUAAUGAUUCGUAAUAUACAUGAGAAUAAUUAGUUAUGAAAAUGUUUAUGAAAAUCUAUCAUCUUCAUUUAUAGUUUUUAUGAAAUUAAAUAUUAUAAUUUAAAAAUUCAAAAAAUUGUAUUAUAAAUAUUUCAUAGUAGUAUAUCUGUGGAUAUUAAGAAAGUCUAUAAUUAUAAAUUUAUAUGCAUUUUGGUAAUUUUAACUAUAUUAGUGUAAUAAAAUAAUAUUGGAUGGCGAAACGAGGAUUGUAUCCCGUGUAUUCAUCGUCAUUUUCAAUAUCUCAUAAUCUCCUUAAUAUAGUUGCACUUUGCUCGACACCGAGCUAGGAAUAGCCGAGGCAGGAUACGGGAACAGUUACGACCCGGGCCGGUAUUGCUCGAGGCGAUCGUGCAAGGACAGUACCGCUACAGGCGAAUAUCUUCCAUUGCCAUUCUUUCUUUUUUCGCGGGAAUUUAUCGCGUGAAAAAUCUAUCUUUACCAAAAUAAUCUAACAAAAAAGUGUUGACAUAAAAAUGUAUCAUUAAAUAAAUUAUUAAAAUACACUAUUAAAUGCUUAAAGAAUAAGAGUGUAUAUAUACUUGAGGCA